CCCUUCACUGGUAGCCUGGUAACAUACACUCCCAGGUCUUUCUCUGCCUCUGUGGUGGAUAGUGGAGUAUUUCCCAUGUGGUAUUGGGGUGCUGGAUAUCCCUUCACUGGUAGCCUGGUAACAUAUAGUCCCAGGUCUUUCUCUGGCUCUUUGGGGGAUAGUUGAGUAUUUCCCAUGUGGUAUUGGUGUGCUGGAUAUCCCUUCACUGGUAGCCUGGUAACAUAUUGUCCCAGGUCUUUCUCUGGCUCUUUGGGGGAUAGUUGAGUAUUUCCCAUGUGGUAUUGGUGUGCUGGAUAUACCCUCCCAAGGUGCAGGACUUUACAUUUUUCUUCAUUGAAUUGUAGCCACAGACAGUUUUGGUCCAUUCCUGUAGCUUGGGGAGGUAUUCUGGUAGGAAAUCCCCAGUUAAGGGGCCACACUGCCCUAACCUAACGUAACCUCCUUAAUGGGAGACUGUGAACCCUGCGACCCCUCGUUUCCACACUUAUUCUGAGCAUGCCAAAUUAAAUCAAACUAACUUAACCAAAUGUAACCUUCCUAUUUUAUUUAUUUUUUUAUUUUUUCGCCCCUUCAACUCACCCUAUUUUCACAUUUCAUCUCAGGCCUGUACUUUUGGCAGCUUUUGGGGGGGCUAGAGGGCAUCAUACACACUCUCUCUCUCUCUCUCUCUCUCUCUCUCUCUCUCUCUCUCUCUCUCUCUCUCUCUCUCUCUCUCUCUCUCUCUCUCUCUCUCUCUCUCACCCCCCAAAAAAAGUUCCCACAUCCACAGAUCAGAUGAGCCACAAUGGGCGCAGGUCACCACAUGCGGGUCGGGGGUCACACAGCCACCGUUCACGACCUGACCCCUAAGAGUGGAUACCAGCUGUCUGGAGUGGACACAGAAGUGGAUUCCUUACAGCAUCGGGACUCCCUUUAAGAUCUCGGUCACCCUCGGAGUCUUGUCACUGGAAACUUCCCGAGGAGCUGCGUCGGCGCGUCACACUCCACCUCCAAGCUAACCCAGGACUGUCCCAGGCUGAGCUGCAUGACAUCCUAUACUAAGAUCGAACCCGCCUGCAACCUCAAGAUCAAGUACGGGUCACCCAAGCCUAGGAGACACCGUAGCCCUCGCCGAUCUAA